rnacentral:rRNA from 1 species
CCUACGGGUGGCUGCAGUGGGGAAUAUUGGACAAUGGGGGCAACCCUGAUCCAGCCAUGCCGCGUGUGUGAAGAAGGCCCUCGGGUUGUAAAGCACUUUCAGGGAGGAAGAACGCCUGGUGGUUAAUACCCAUCAGGAAAGACAUCACUCACAGAAGAAGCACCGGCUAACUCCGUGCCAGCAGCCGCGGUAAUACGGAGGGUGCGAGCGUUAAUCGGAAUUACUGGGCGUAAAGCGCGCGUAGGUGGCUUGAUAAGCCGGUUGUGAAAGCCCCGGGCUCAACCUGGGAACGGCAUCCGGAACUGUCAAGCUAGAGUGCAGGAGAGGAAGGUGGAAUUCCCGGUGUAGCGGUGAAAUGCGUAGAGAUCGGGAGGAAUACCAGUGGCGAAGGCGGCCUUCUGGACUGACACUGACACUGAGGUGCGAAAGCGUGGGUAGCAAACAGGAUUAGAUACCCCGGUAGUC